rnacentral:rRNA from 1 species
GAUGAACGCUGGCGGGGUGCCUAAUACAUGCAAGUCGAGCGAACAGACGAGGAGCUUGCUCCUCUGACGUUAGCGGCGGACGGGUGAGUAACACGUGGAUAACCUACCUAUAAGACUGGGAUAACUUCGGGAAACCGGAGCUAAUACCGGAUAACAUGUUGAACCGCAUGGUUCAACAGUGAAAGACGGUCUUGCUGUCACUUAUAGAUGGAUCCGCGCCGCAUUAGCUAGUUGGUAAGGUAACGGCUUACCAAGGCAACGAUGCGUAGCCGACCUGAGAGGGUGAUCGGCCACACUGGAACUGAGACACGGUCCAGACUCCUACGGGAGGCAGCAGUAGGGAAUCUUCCGCAAUGGGCGAAAGCCUGACGGAGCAACGCCGCGUGAGUGAAGGAGGUCUUCGGAUCGUAAAACUCUGUUAUUAGGGAAGAACAAAUGUGUAAGUAACUAUGCACGUCUUGACGGUACCUAAUCAGAAAGCCACGGCUAACUACGUG